rnacentral:rRNA from 1 species
AAUGAACGUUGGCGGCAUGGAUUAGGCAUGCAAGUCGAGCGAGAAGUGUAGCAAUACACGGAAAGCGGCGGAAGGGAGAGUAAUACGUGGGAAUCUGCCCUUAGGCCUGGGAUAGCAGCGGGAAACUGCUGGUAAUACCAGAUAAUGUCUAUGGACCAAAGGUGUGAUUCCGUCUAGGGAUGAACCCACGUCCUAUUAGCUAGUUGGUAGGGUAAUGGCCUACCAAGGCGAUGAUGGGUAGCGGGUGUGAGAGCAUGACCCGCCUCACUGGGACUGAGACACUGCCCAGACACCUACGGGUGGCUGCAGUCGAGAAUCUUCGGCAAUGGGCGCAAGCCUGACCGAGCGAUGCCGCGUGCGGGAUGAAGGCCUUCGGGUUGUAAACCGCUGUCGAGGGGGAGCAACUUCCAUAGAGUUAUCUUUAUGGAUUGAGUGAUCCCUGGAGGAAGGACGGGCUAAGUUCGUGCCAGCCGCCGCUGUAACAC